rnacentral:rRNA from 1 species
UACAGAGGGGGCAAGCGUUAUUCGGAAUUAUUGGGCGUAAAGAGCUCGUAGGCGGUCUGUCGCGUCGGAUGUGAAAAUCCAGGGCUUAACCCUGGACCUGCAUUCGAUACGGGCAGACUAGAGUUCGGUAGGGGAGACUGGAAUUCCUGGUGUAGCGGUGAAAUGCGCAGAUAUCAGGAGGAACACCGGUGGCGAAGGCGGGUCUCUGGGCCGAUACUGACGCUGAGGAGCGAAAGCGUGGGGAGCGAACAGG